AUUGAACGCUGGCGGCAUGCCUUACACAUGCAAGUCGAACGGCAGCGCGGGAGCAAUCCUGGUGGCGAGUGGCGAACGGGUGAGUAAUAUAACGGAACGUGCCCAGUCGUGGGGGAUAACGCAGCGAAAGCUGUGCUAAUACCGCAUACGAUCUAAGGAUGAAAGCGGGGGAUCGCAAGACCUCGCGCGAUUGGAGCGGCCGAUAUCAGAUUAGCUAGUUGGUGGGGUAAAGGCCCACCAAGGCGACGAUCUGUAGCUGGUCUGAGAGGACGCCCAGCCACACUGGAACUGAGACACGGUCCAGACUCCUACGGGAGGCAGCAGUGGGGAAUUUUGGACAAUGGGCGCAAGCCUGAUCCAGAAAUGCCGCGUGCAGGAUGAAGGCCUUCGGGUUGUAAACUGCUUUUGUACGGAACGAAACGGCCCUUUCUAAUACAGGGGGCUAAUGACGGUACCGUAAGAAUAAGCACCGGCUAACUACGUGCCAGCAGCCGCCGUAA
rnacentral:rRNA from 1 species